GGGGGGCCUGGGUUCGUUUGGGGGCCACGAGGGACGAAGUUUGUCCGGUUGGGGCCUUCCGCGCUUUUCUGGAGGUGCGCCCGGAGCGGGGAGGCCCUUUGUUAGCUCACGUGGACGGGUCUCCUCUAACCCAGUAUCAGUUCUCGGCGAUGCUGAAGAGAGCAUUGGUUGCGAGUGGCAUUGAUGGUCACGGGUUUUCGGCCCAUUCCUUUC